AGCAGCCGCGGUAAUUCCAGCUCCAAUAGCGUAUAUUAAAGUUGUUGCAGUUAAAAAGCUCGUAGUUGAAUUUCGGAAUUUGUCGGUUGGUCGGGCUUCACUGUCCGCACUGACCUGAUGGAUUCCUACCUUCUGAAUAACCAGCAUGCUAUUAAGUUAGUGCGUUGGGGAAGCAGAGCUAUUACCUUGAAAAAAUUAGAGUGCUUAAAGCAGGCUUGUGCUUAAAUAGAUUAGCAUGGAAUAAUAAAAUAGGACGGCAUGGUUCUAUUUUGUUGGUUUCUAGGAUCACCGUAAUGAUUAAUAGGGAUAGUUGGGGGCAUUAGUAUUCAAUUGUCAGAGGUGAAAUUCUUGGAUUUAUUGAAGACUAACUUCUGCGAAAGCAUUUGCCAAGGAUGUUUUCAUUAAUCAAGAACGAAAGUUAGGGGAUCGAAGACGAUCAGAUACCGUCGUAGUCUUAACCAUAAACUAUGCCGACUAGGGAUCGGACGAUGUUAAUUUUUUAAUGACUCGUUCGGCGCCUUACG
rnacentral:rRNA from 1 species